rnacentral:rRNA from 1 species
AACACAUGCAAGUCGAACGCGAAAGUCCCGCAAGGGAUAAGUAGAGUGGCAAACGGGUGAGUAACACGUGGGUGACCUGCCUUCGAGCGGGGGAUAACGUCCCGAAAGGGACGCUAAUACCGCAUAAUAUGCCGCCUUUUAACAGGUGGACAUCAAAGCUGGGGAUCGCAAGACCUAGCACUUGAAGAGGGGCCCGCGUCUGAUUAGCUAGUUGGUGGGGUAAUGGCUCACCAAGGCAACGAUCAGUAUCCGGCCUGAGAGGGCGGACGGACACACUGGGACUGAGACACGGCCCAGACUCCUACGGGAGGCAGCAGUGGGGAAUUGUUCGCAAUGGGCGCAAGCCUGACGACGCAACGCCGCGUGGAGGAUGAAGACCUUCGGGUCGUAAACUCCUUUCGAUCGAGACGAAUGGCCUUCGGGUGAACAAUCCGGAGGAGUGACGGUACCGAGAGAAGAA